GAGGAAAAGAAACUAACAAGGAUUCCCCUAGUAGCGGCGAGCGAAGCGGGAAGAGCUCAAAUUUAUAAUCUGGCACCUUCGGUGUCCGAGUUGUAAUCUCUAGAAGUGUUUUCCGCGUUGGACCGCACACAAGUCUGUUGGAAUACAGCGGCAUAGUGGUGAAACCCCCGUAUAUGGUGCGGACGCCCAGCGCUUUGUGAUACACUUUCAAUGAGUCGAGUUGUUUGGGAAUGCAGCUCAAAUUGGGUGGUAAAUUCCAUCUAAAGCUAAAUAUUGGCGAGAGACCGAUAGCGAACAAGUACCGUGAGGGAAAGAUGAAAAGCACUUUGGAAAGAGAGUUAACAGUACGUGAAAUUGUUGGAAGGGAAACGCUUGAAGUCAGACUUGCUUGCCGGAGCUUGCUUCGGUUUGCAGGCCAGCAUCAGUUUUCCGGGGUGGAUAAUGACGGUUUGAAGGUAGCAGUCUCGGCUGUGUUAUAGCUUUCCGUUGGAUACAUCCUGGGGGACUGAGGGAACGCAGCGUGCUUUUUGCGAAAGACUCGUCUUUUUCACGCUUAGGAUGCUGGUGGAAUGGCUUUAAACGACCCGUC
rnacentral:rRNA from 1 species